rnacentral:rRNA from 1 species
AGAUCCAAUAGUUUAUGUUAAAAUUGUUGCAAUUAAAAAGCUCACAGUUGGAUUUCUGGUAGGAAUGAUUACUCCGGUACUCAUAUGUCAGUACUCGUAUUAUCUCGGGCCAUCCUUGGGCGAAGUAUGUUUGGUCUUAAGUUGCUGAGUAGGUGAUACCCAUCUUUUACUGUGAAAAAUUCAAAGGGUUCAAAGUAGACUUAGAUCGUUGAAUAUAUUAGUAUGGAAUAGUAAGAUAAGACCUUGACACUAUUUUGUUGGUGUAUGCGCCGGGGUAAUGUUUAAUAGGGACAGUUGUGAGUAUUUGUAUUCCGUUGUCAGAGUUGUAAUUCUCUGAUUUACGAAAAUAGACUACUGCGAAAGUAUAUACCAAGAAUGUGUUCA